rnacentral:rRNA from 1 species
GACAGAGGGUGCAAGCGUUAAUCGGAAUUACUGGGCGUAAAGGGCUUGUAGGCGGUUUGCUAAGUCGAGUGUUAAAACCCCGGGCUUAACCUGGGAAUGUCAUUCGAUACUGGUAAACUUCGAGUUGAGUAGAGGUAAGUGGAAUUCCCGGUGUAGUGGUGAUAUGCGUAGAUAUCGGGAGGAACACCAGUGGCGAAGGCGGCUUUCUGGGCCUUACCUGACGCUGAGACGCGAAAGCGUGGGGAGCGAACCGG